UUUUUUUUCAGGUUAUUUUUGGUUUGGUUCUUUGUUUUUUGUUUUUUUUUUGGCUGGAGCAGAGCAUUCUGCCCCAGCUCUCCUCCCAACCCCUCGGCAUCCCACGGUGAGGAUGGCUUCCAGGGUCCUAAACCAGUUACCACACUCGGGGGAGAAGAGCCACAGGGAGUGUACCCCCCUGCCCAGCCCUUCUCCCAGCUCCCCUGGCCCCCACUGUGCCCUCCACAUAGCACCCUUUGCCCCCCCUCUCCAUGGCAUCCGUGCCAGCACUGCCCACCCUGGGCUGCUGCUGAAGGGUUGGGAGCCACCCCUGCCAGGACCCCCCCAUUCCCCACUGGGGAACGGGGUCUGCUCUCAAAAAUGACAGAAAAUUGUGUCUUAAAGAAAAUCCCCCCCUUUUUUUCCUCACCCUCUUCCAUUCUGCAAAAUGCAGUUCCCGAGGGGGGGGCAGAGCCCCAGCUGGGGGUGGCGGCGGCGGUGACGGUGGAGGAUGCUUUAUUGAUGGAGAGUUGGGGGGAUGAUUUAGUUUUGGUUUGUUUUUGGAGGGGAAAGGAAGGAAAUCUGACCACAGGUCAUACCAAAAGCAAACUGGUGGCACCGGGUGGCUUCCCACGGUGGCUGUCCCCCCCCCCCUCAGCAGCCCCGUCAGCUCCAUCCCUGUUGCUGGGGGCAGUCGAGAAACCUUGUAAAUAUGUGAAGAAAGGGUGAUAUCUGAACUCUUGGUUUUUGCUGAGCACCUCGGUCUGCUGGGUCCUGAAACGGAGUGUGUCCCUUCGGUUCUUUUCAUGGAAAGCAUUGAAGUUUGGUUGGUUUUUUUUUCUUUUCUUUUUUUUUUUUUUUUUUUCCUCCUCCGUUUUGUUUGUGUAAAUACUAGUCUUUUUUGGAAGAAAUAAUGUAAAGAUGUUUUGUAUAAACUCUGAAUUAUUUUCUGGUUGCUUUUUCUUAGAAAAACAAACGAGAACAAAAAAAAAAAGAAAAAAAAAAAGAAAAAAAAAAAAAGAAAAAGAAAUUUUAACCACAAGAACGGGUGUAAAACAUUGUCAUACUGCGCUCAGCCCCGGAGCUGCCCCGCGGGGCUGUGCUGGUGUGGGGGUGCUGCCGGGCAGAAUGGAAGGGGGGGAGGCUGGGUCCCCCCCUUGGGGGGGCUCAGGACGGGGUGGUGGGGCUGUGCCCUCGAUAUAAUGCAGGAUCUGGUGGGCGCCAAGCAGAGAGCGAGGUGUGGGGGGGUUGAUUGUGCCCCUUGCUGUGGGCACAGCCCCGAUGCUCAUGGCAAGGUGGGACCUGGCUCAUUCCCAGCGAGUUUCUGGCCAUCCUGGGUCUGGGCAGAGCUUUCAACCCCGGCCUGAGCACGGGCAAGAGACUUGAUGAACUAAAGGAGCAUCGAUUUUAUCUCCUUUUUUAUCUUAAACCAAAAAAAAAACCAACCAACCAAAACCCCAAACCACAGGAUGCACAGCUCAGCGCAGCAUCCUCAGAUCCUGAUCCGCUUUUCCAGACCUGUGGAGCUGCUCCUGGUGCAGAUCCCUUUUCCCAACUAUCUCCUCUUUUCCACUUGCCAAACGCAAGCACACGGUAGCCCCAUCUCUGCUUGGUGCCCAGGAUGGGGAGGGGGGGACUCGCUCCUCUUCAGCAUCACCCACGUUUUGUACAGGGGGUGCUCGGGGAGGGGGCCGUGCCCCCCAAAGCCAUCUCCGGUGUCACCGGGCACGUGUGGCACUUCCCAGGAAGCAGCUGGGAGCUCCCAGUUGCUCCCAGGAGCUGGGAAUUUGCCUGUGAAUCUGCAUUAUAUCGGCAGAGGGUGAGGGGGGGGCGCUCCCUCAGUCUCCGCUGCCCCCCCCCAGGGUGUCUUGGGGGGGGUUUUGGAGGUGCUGGUCCCCCUCCCAGCUGCCCCUCACACCAGCACCCCCGCACCGCGUGCUCCCACAUUUCAGAGCUGUGACCACGUCUACAUCCCACGGCGUCGCAUCCGCACCCUCGCCGCGGUCCCGGGAGAAGGGAAGAGGGGGGGUUGUGGUGGUGGUUGGGGGGGGGGGUAGGAAACACCCCCUUCGGUCCCCGGUGUCCUCACACGAUCAACCAGCCGUGGGGCUGCUGCUGCCCCAAACCCCGUGCCCGCCGUGCCGGCAUCGCUGGAGCAUCUGGGCUGCCAGGUUUAUCCUUCUCCAUCUUCCGCUGCCAUUAUCCGAGAGGUGGGGUUGGACUUGGAGCCCGGAUGUGGCCGAUCCCGGUGCUGGUGUAGGGAUGGGGGGGAUUUUGGCCGAGGGUCUGGAAUCACCACCGGCGAGCAGCAGGAGUGAUUUGGGCACCGUGCAGCUUGGCUUCGGCCACCUCCUCGUUCCCUCCGUGCCAGCACCCCUUUUUGGGGUCCCCAGGCUGUUCUGGGGGCACAUCCCGGAGCGGGGCUGGGCAAACCCACGCUGGUUGAUCGUCCUUGGCUCCUGGUGGGGCUCCGGCGGUGCCGGGCACCGGGGUCCCCUUGGCCGUGCUCCCCCGGCACCGCAGGCUUUUGUUUCUUCGUGUCAUGUUCCUCUUUUUUGAUUCCUUUCACCUUCUCCCCAGCUCUCCCGCCCAGUAGCAUAUCAUCGGCAUCGGUAACCAGCUCUGUGGCAUCUGAACUCCAUGGAGCCGUGAUGGAACCUGAUAUAUUGUUAAA